CCGAAUCUACAAACUUUUUUUCCACUUUUAUUGGCUUUUUUAAGACAUGACAUGUCCUUAUGCCGAUGCUUUUGGUAUUCAACAUACGGAGCUAAUUCAGAGUCUGUGACAUCUACUGUAAUAUGUUUGUUAAUGAAGGCUAUAACUGUUGAAAUUGACUCUGUACUGGUUAAGUCCACUGCUGGGGCAUCUUUCAGCCAAAACAUGCCGUGAAUAUGGGGGGAACCUCUUUGUUGGAAUUCAACACGCCAAUAAUAUUUGAUGACGAAGUUUUCCCCGAAAAUGCCCUCCCGAUUCCUCAUAACUUUUAAAAUCUCGCGAUACCUAUAAUCGAAAUACCUAGCACAAGUAACUGGAUCUGCCCUGAUAAGACGCUCCUUUUCGGUGUAGGGUAGAUUCACUGCUUCUUCUUCGCUAAUGAUCUCCCUAUCUACGUUUUUUUUUUAGCAAAACAAGCAACUCUGGCCACCGCGUUUCAGCAGCAGACAGAGUAAUGAAAAAAGUCGGCAGGCCGAACUGACGAAUCAUGGCCAUAACCUUCUUCUUUUCAUCCUCCCAGUGAGCCGGAGACGAUCGAAUAUCGCGAAGAACCCUAUAUCCCUCAUCGUGGUUAAUAAGCCCCCCUAUGAAAUUCUCAUUAAGAGCGUUAGCUGCCGUUACUGCACUGGAAGUGCUCCGCUUACUUUGUCAGUUCUACAACCUCUCCUAUCUACAUUUCGAAGCUCUGAUCUAACAAUGGUUGUAAAACUUUGCGAAGAUUGUCUUUUGACGCCUGCAUAAAUUGUGGGAAAGGAUAACUCUUCCGAGUCAAUGUCUAGAAUCAUGUCGAGAGGUCGUUGGCCUUGACCUGGUGCGAUUUUGAUAAUCCUAUCAUCAAAUGGCUGCGUCUGCUUGAGAUGCUACGAAUGGAACAAUAUCGGAUGUGAAACCAGAGAUCCAUUGCUCGUUAACUACAACAUUAUGCUUUUUAUACAAAUCUGUGGUAACUAAAUAACGAAGUGCUUCAAAAAUUUUGGAAGGUCUAAUGGUUUCAGCCAUGAAAGCAUGAAGAUACUCU